AGAGUUUGAUUCUGGCUCAGGAUGAACGCUAGCGGCAAGCUUAAUACAUGCAAGUCGUGGGGCAGCAUGAAGUAGCAAUACUUUGAUGGCGACCGGCAAACGGGUGCGGAACACGUACACAACCUUCCUUUUAGUGGGGAAUAGCCCAGAGAAAUUUGGAUUAAUACCCCGUAACAUAACGAUGUGGCAUCACAUUGUUAUUAUAGCUUCGGCGCUAGAUGAUGGGUGUGCGUAUGAUUAGAUAGUUGGCGAGGUAACGGCUCACCAAGUCUACGAUCAUUAGCUGAUGUGAGAGCAUGAUCAGCCACACGGGCACUGAGACACGGGCCCGACUCCUACGGGAGGCAGCAGUAAGGAAUAUUGGUCAAUGGACGCAAGUCUGAACCAGCUAUGCCGCGUGAAGGAUUAAGGUCCUCUGGAUUGUAAACUUCUUUUAUCUGGGACGAAAAAAGGUUUUUCUAAGCCUCUUGACGGUACCAGAUGAAUAAGCACCGGCUAACUCCGUGCCAGCAGCCGCGGUAAUACGGAGGGUGCAAGCGUUAUCCGGAUUCACUGGGUUUAAAGGGUGCGUAAGCGGGCAGGUAAGUCAGUGGUGAAAUCCUGGAGCUCAACUCGAGAACUGCCAUUUGAUACUAUCUGGUCUUGAAUAUU
rnacentral:rRNA from 1 species